CUUAGGGUUUCCUCUGGGGUAAGUGAUUGCUUCUACACUGUGAAAAUUUGGCUGAGAGACUCAGACUGGUCAUGGGUAGACCUAUCUGGGGUUUGAUCGAUGCCACUCCUGGUUUCAGGAGCACCCUUCAUAAUAAACCUAGAAAUUCAGUAUUAUAAAGUUUAAUAAAAAACAACUUUUAACAAUGGAUCUCUUGGUUCUCGCAUCGAUGAAGAACGUAGCAAAGUGCGAUAACUAGUGUGAAUUGCAUAUUCAGUGAAUCAUCGAGUCUUUGAACGCAGCUUGCACUCUAUGGUUUUUCUAUAGAGUACGCCUGCUUCAGUAUCAUCACAAACCCACACAUAACAUUUGUUUAUGUGGUAAUGGGUCGCAUCGCUGUUUUAUUACAGUGAGCACCUAAAAUGUGUGUGAUUUUCUGUCUGGCUUGCUAGGCAGGAAUAUUACGCUGGUCUCAGGAUCUUUUUCUUUGGUUCGCCCAGGAAGUAAAGUACAAGAGUAUAAUCCAGCAACUUUCAAACUAUGAUCUGAAGUCAGGUGGGAUUACCCGCUGAACUUAAGCAUAUCA
rnacentral:rRNA from 1 species